rnacentral:rRNA from 1 species
UCCCUACGGGACGCAGCAGUGGGGGAUAUUGCACAAUGGGGGGAACCCUGAUGCAGCGACGCCGCGUGGGUGAAGAAGCGCCUCGGCGCGUAAAGCCCUGUCAGCAGGGAAGAAAAUGACGGUAACUGAAGAAGAAGCCCCGGCUAACUACGUGCCAGCAGCCGCGGGAAUACGUAGGGGGCAAGCGUUAUCCGGAUUUACUGGGUGUAAAGGGGGCGCAGACGGCGAGGCCAGCACGGAGUGAAAGACCGGG